CCCUAUAGCUCAGUGGUAGAGCGUCAGUCUUGUAAACUGAAGGUCUAUAGUUCAAUCCUACAUGGGG
rnacentral:tRNA from 1 species